rnacentral:rRNA from 1 species
AAUGAACGUUGGCGGCGUGGAUUAGGCAUGCAAGUCGCGCGAGAAAUUUCCUUCGGGAAAUGGACAGCGGCGGAAGGGAGAGGAAUAAGUAGAAAUCUGCCCUCGGGACGGGGAUAGCGGUGGGAAACUGCCGGUAUUACCCGAUAACAUCUUUGGAUCAAAUGGUGUGAUUCCGCCUGAGGAUGAGUCUACUUCCUAUUAGCUAGUUGGUGGGGUAAUGGCCUACCAAGGCAACGAUGGGUAGCGGGUGUGAGAGCACGACCCGCCUCACUGGGACUGAGACACUGCCCAGACACCUACGGGUGGCUGCAAUCGAGAAUCUUCGGCAAUGGGGGAAACCCUGACCGAGCGACGCCGCGUGCGGGAUGAAGGCCCUUGGGUUGUAAACCGCUGUCGUAAGGGAACAAAUCUAUAGGGGUACUCCCCUAUGGUUGAGUGAUCUUAGGAGGAAGGACGGGCUAAGUUCGUG